UACAGAGGUCCCAAGCGUUGUUCGGAUUCAUUGGGCGUAAAGGGUGCGUAGGCGGCGCGGAAAGUAGGGUGUGAAAUCCCUCAGCUCAACUGAGGAACUGCGCUCUAAACUACCGUGCUUGAGGGAGAUAGAGGUGAGCGGAACUUAGGGUGGAGCGGUGAAAUGCGUUGAUAUCCUAAGGAACACCGGUGGCGAAAGCGGCUCACUGGAUCUCUUCUGACGCUGAGGCACGAAAGCUAGGGGAGCGAACGGG
rnacentral:rRNA from 1 species